rnacentral:lncRNA from 1 species
AUGGCUAGAGCUCUCCUCAUCUCACCUUCCUUCUUCAUCUUCUUCAUCUUUCUCAUUUUCUCUUCUGCCAAGAUCCCAGUUUUCGGAGAAGAAUAUAGCUAUGUCAAGCGUCUCAAUCCUAAGAAAAUGAAGAUGUUGAAGGAAAAGUUAAGUCAUUUUCGACUUUAUUGGCAUGAUAUUCUUAGUGGGUCUAAUCCAACCUCAAUUCCAGUAGUUAAACCGGUGAAUAACUCAUCAACAUUCUUUGGUUCAAUAAAUAUGAUCGAUAAUCCAUUAACCAUUGAGCCAAAAUUAAACUCAAAAAUGGUUGGAAAGGCCCAAGGGUUUUAUGCGUCUGCGGGACAAGAAAAUUUUGGAUUGUUGAUGGUUAUGAAUUUUGCAUUCAACGAUGACAAGUAUAAUGGUAGCACAUUUACUGUGAUAGGACGAAAUGAUGUUUUUUCUAAGGUGAGGGAAAUGGAGAUAGUUGGUGGCAGUGGGCUUUUCCGAUUUGCUACAGGUUAUGUUCAAGCAAAAACUUACAUGUUCGGUACCAAUGGAGAUGCCAUUGUCGAAUACAAUGCCUAUGUUUUACAUUAUUGAUAUUUUUCCUUUUUUUAACUUUUCAGUCGAGCUUUGUUCCACAGUGAUAGACUUGAAUUGUUGUGUGUUCCCACUGUAGCUAAGUGGGGUUCUCUAGUUUUGCUUAAUUUAAUUAAAUUAAGUUACUCUUACUUUACCUAAUUUAUUGUAAGCAUGCAAUAAUAAAAUAAAAUUUAAGUAUCACGUAUAGUUUGAUUUAGAAUUUAUUUGUUUAUUUAAAUUUUUUAGAGAAGUUACAAAAAUAGAAAAAAAAAAACACAUGUAAUUCAAAGAAAAUCAUAUUUGAAAAUUCUCGAUGAUAGUGAUAGAUCGUGUAGAGAGAAGAAAAAUAAGACCAUAUUCAAUUUUAUUUGUUUCUUAUGAUUUUCUUAAUUUUCUUAUGUUCCUCUAUUGUUUAAAAAACUAGUGAAAAUGAUUCUUUAUUUCACUUUGUUUUUUUAAAAAUGAAAAUAGAGAACAACAACUGAAUAAGGUUAUGAAUUUUUUAAAAACAAAUAUUUGUUUUUAAAAUAGAAAACUAUUUUUUAAAUCACAUGGUCAAACAUGUUAUAAUAGUUUAAAAUUUUGUUUUAAAAAAAUGGAAGUAUAUAUAUGAAAAAAAAAAAAUUACAGCUUGAAAGUGAUUUUUAAAGAUUAAGUACAGCAAAACAACAUUUUAUAUGGAAUUUAUUAGUAUUUUUAUUUUUAAAAUAAAAAAAUAGAAAUUCAAAUUUUUGUUUUUAAAAGUUUUAAAAUAGAAAACAAAAUUAUACCCAAAUAACACCUUUUAAGUUUGUAAUUUACUAAAAGUUCAUCAGUCAAGAUUCCUAAAACUCUAUUACGUCAUAGUCCCACACAACUCAAGAAAGGUUAUAUCCAUAUAUUCAAGAUGACCUCCUAAAUCUUGAUCUAUAUGCAUGGAGGUAUAAAUUUUUUAUAAAUAAUUUUUUAUUUUUAAAAACAAAAACCUAUUUUUAAAUCACACAAUCAAACAGAUUGGAAGCCUUCAAUCCUUAAUAUCUUUUAACUUAAAAUCUUACCAUUAGAUAACAUUGCUUUAGAAUUUAUAAAUCAUGUAUUAUAAGUAAACUAAAAUCAUAUUAUUGUUGAUAGUAAUGAGAUACACUUUAUAUCUUAUUUGAUAAAGGUUAAGAAACCAUAUACAAAUUAUUAAUUAAUUAAUAAUUUAUUAAUGUAACCUUAUCAUUAUACAAAUAAAAUAUUUCUAUUAUUUCCAUUUUCAAAAUUUAAAACUCAAAGAAGUCAAAAGAAAAUUUCUUAAUUUUUCAACUAAUAAAAUCCCUUUUAUAAAAAAAAGAAAAAAAGAAAAAGAAAGUCAACAAAUCUUGAAAUUUCAAAAUUUUAAGAUAUUAAUGUACCAGUUAUUAAGUAGAUCGAGUAUAUUUAGUAGUGAUUCUAUUUGAAGUACUUUAGUAAAAGUGUUUUUUCUAAAAAUGUUUUUAGAAGAAUCGUCCAUUAAUUUCUUUUUUAAGAAACAUUAUAAAUAAUUUGUCAAUUUUUUAAAAAUAUUUUCUAAUUUUAAAUGCCAAAAUAUUUUAAAAUAUAGGGAAAAAUAUAUUUCCAUAUACCUAUAUGAAAAAAACCACAAAAUAAAAAUUUAAGUUUAUAAAAUAUAAAUUUCAAGCACUUAUAUAAAAAUAAUUAGUAUUUCACAUAUUUUCUUUAUCAAAUAUAUUACAUUUGAUCACGUAGAAUAUACCUUUUAAUGAUAUGAGUGUAUUAAAUUUGAAUUAUUUUUAUUUUGUUUUUAUUUUAUAAUUAUUUUUAUAUUAGCUUGUGAAAACCUUUUUUUUUUGUAAGUUAGAAGGAGUUUCUCUCCAUCGAAACACGCAGUGUCUUUUUCCCUUUUCUUGUAAACCCUAGAAAACUCUAAACCCUAAAUUCGGUGCUCAGAAAGACUUGGGCAUGGAAGAAGAGAAUGAAAGUAAAGUCAAUUCCUUUAUUUUUAAAUCCUCAGUUCACUUUUGCUUCCAUUGGGUGGGUGGGUGGGAUACCUGGAAAUUGUAUCAGACCUACCGUCACUCACAAGUCUGAAUUAAAAUGACAAUUUUAUCCAAUAGAAUGGGUUUUGGGGCGACUUUGAUUGCGGGAGGCCUCAUUUUCUAGAAAAGGUUGGCCCAACCACACCAUCCUCUUUCCAUGUUUUUUCUCAACAAACGCGUGCCCAAGUCAAUAAGACUUGCAAAUCACCCAAAACCACCAUAUGCCCAAGGCACCAAACCCCAUAAGAUGGAGGGGCAUUUUUGUCAUUCUCGUUAGAAAUAUUCCCGUUGUGAUGGGUCGGUGCGAUUGGCAAUUAUAACAUCUUUGAAUUUGGAAAAGUGGGCUUUAAUUGUGUGGAAAAUGAACAAUUCAAUAAUUUAUAUAUAUAUCCUAGGUUUUGUGAGCAAAGGGUGUGCAUUGUGGCCAUGGCUAGAGCUCUCCUCAUCUCACCUCCCUACUUCAUCUUCCUUAUCUUUCUCAUUUUCUCUUAUGCCACAAUCCCAACUUUUGGAGAAGAAUAUAGCUAUGUCAAGCGUGUCAAUCCUAAGAAAAUGAAGAUAUUGAAGGAAAAGUUAAGUCAUUUUCGACUUUACUGGCACGACAUUGUUAGCGGGUCUAAUCCAACCUCAAUUCAAGUGGUUAAACCAGUGAAUAACUCGUCAACAUUCUUUGGUUCAAUAAAUAUGAUUGAUAAUCCGUUAACCAUUGGACCAAAGUUGAGCUCAAAACUGGUUGGAAAGGCUCAAGGGUUUUAUUCAUCUGCAGGACAAGAAGAAUUUGGAUUAUUGAUGGUUAUGAAUUUUGUAUUCAUCGAUGGCAAGUAUAAUGGUAGCACAUUCACUGUGUUAGGACGAAACAAAGUUCUUUCUAAGGUGAGAGAGAUGGAGGUGAUCGGUGGCAGUGGAAUUUUUCGAUUUGCUAAAGGUUAUGUUCAAGCAAAAACUUACAUGUUCAAUUCCACGGGGGACGCUACUGUUGAGUAUAAUGCCUAUGUCAAACAUUAUUGAUUUUUUUUUCUUUUUUUAGUAUUUUAAUGGAGCUUUGGUCCAUAGUGGUGAUAGACUUGAAUUAUUGUGUGUUCCCACCAUAGCUAAGUGGGGUUCUAUAGUUUUGCUUAAUUUAAUUAAAUUAUGUUGCUCUUUCUUUACCUAAUUUAAGGUAAGUAUGCAGAAAUAAAAUAAAAUUUAAGUAUCAAGUAUAGUUUGAUUUGAAAUUUAUUUGCUUAAUUAAAAAUUUUAGAGAAGUUAAAAAAAAACACAUGUAAUUCUAAGAAAAUCAUAUUUGAAGAUUUUCGAUUAUACUAUUAGAUCGUGUUAAGAAAAUAAGAAUAAUAUUAUGUUCAAUUUUAUUUGUUUCUUAUAGUUUCCUUAAUUUCCUCAUGUUCCCCGUCCUCUAUUUUAAAAGCUAGUAAAAACAACUUUUACUUUUCUAUUCCAUUUUAUUUAAAAUAAAAAAUAAAAAUAGAAAAUAACGGCCACUGUUAUAGUUUUUUUAAAAGUAAGUUUUUGUUUUUGAAACAAAAAAAAAAAACUAUUUUUUAAUCUUGCCAAACAUGAUGUGUUUUAAAUCCGUUUAAAAAAAAUCGAAGUAUAUAAAAAAAAAAAUUUACUACUUGAAAGUGAUUUUUAAAGAUUAAGUACAAGAAUUUAAUAUUUUAUAUUUUUAUUUUUACUUUAAAAACAAAAAUAGGAAAUGUAUCUAAAUAUGAAGUAAUUUUUUUUUUACUUUAUUGCAUUUCACAAAUAUUAUUCCCAAAUUAUAAAAAUCUCUUUGAAAAUGUUAAUUUUUUUUAAAAAAAAAUUAAAAAUAGAAAACAAAAUUACACCCAAAUAACACCUUAAAUUUGUAAUCUACUAAAAGGUCAAAAUUCCUAGAACACUAUUAGAUCAUGGUCCAAUCCAAUUUAAGAAAGACCAAAUACAUAUAUUAAAGAUAGUUUCUUGUGUUUGACACUAAUUCUGUAAAGUGCUUCUAGCUAAAAAUAAAUAGAUGUUUAGUAAAAUUUAGGAAACACUUUUAAAAAUUUGAUAAGUUACUUUCAAUGUCAAAAAUCACUUACAGUAUUUUUUAGAAAAACAUUAGAUAGUUGAUUAUUCUAAAAACACUCAUAACGACAAUAUUUUCAAUAAAAAACACUUCGAGUUGAAACAUUACUAAAUACACUUUAAAUCUUGAACUUUAUGCGUGGAGGUAUGAAUUAUAAUUUUUUUUCCUCCACCUUUAAUUAUGGUAUGAUUUUCAUGAAAUUGUAGGUUUUAGACCUAGCUUAUUCACUAAAACCAUUAUAUAACAUAUGGCAUAGUUUUAUUUUCAUUUUGUACAUGGACUAUUAGCCUUUAAUGCUUCAUAUCCUCUAACUUAAAAAUCUUAAUAUAGAUAACAAUCCCAUGUUAGAAAAAUAUAAAUUAGGCCUUACAAGUAAGCUAGAAUCAUAUUGUUGUUUAUUGUAUAUGAGAUACACUUAAUAUCUUAUCUAGAUGUGGCUAAAUCAUAUGCAAAAUAUUUGUCAAUUCAACAAGAAAAAAAAAUAUAACUAAGUUUAAAAUAAGCUCACUAUACUUCAAUGUAGAAAAUUGAUAUUUGCAUUUAUUUAAGCCAAUAUCCAACCUAGGUUGCUUUGAAGUAGAGUUAAAUCCAUACAACGAGUAUGUAAUUCUCCUACAAAAUAGGAAGGAAGAGUAGAAGAGUUUAUGGAUCUUCCAUUUUCUAACUUAGCUAUCUGUAGAGACAUGAUCUUAUAGAGUUAUUUGUUGCAUAUGCUAAGAUGAGAGCAAAUUGAUAGUGGGUUCAUUGCACUUAUGAAAUUUAAAUUCUUGAACACUUGAGAUUAACAAAUUCCUUACAUUAUUAAAAAUAAAUUUUAAACUAGAUUAAUUGUAGAUAAUGAAAAAUUAAGACUUUUGAUACCUUUAGACUACGUUUGACUCGUGUACCAAACACCUUUUAAAAGAAUUUUUAGAAAAAUCAUUUAUCAAUUACUUUUUUAGGAGUCAUUUUUCAAUUUUUUAAAAAAUACUUUCAAAUUUUAUCAAACACGCAAUCUUCAAAAAAAUAUGUUGUUUAAACUAAAAAUAUUUUCUAAAAUUACCAAAAAAGGGGCUUUUAAUAUAUUUACUAGUUCCCACAAAAUAAUGGAGUUCUCUCCCCUUUUUGCCCUAAAAAUGAUAAAGAAUAUAAAGUACGAAAUUUAAAUCGUGGGAGAGAUAAAAAGAUAUCCAUAUAUACCAGACCUACAUUCGCUCACAUGUUUGAAUGGUAAAAUGACAAUUUUAUUCAAUAGGACGAAGGGUUUCGGCCCAGCACAAUAAGCCUUAGGGCCCACUUUGAUGGCGGCACAAUAAACCUUAGGGCCAACUUUGAUGGCGGCUGCCGUGGCGGAGCCAGACUCCUUUGUUAUGGGGGAGGGAUCAAGAGAAUUAUUAAUAUAUUAUAGUUAAGGUAAUUAAUGAUAUUUAUUAUUAUUAUUAUUAAAAUUAAAUAAUUUUAAAUAUUGAUUAUAAAAAUGUAUAAAAUUAAACCACCAUAGUACUAAGAAUAUUUAUAUAUAUAUAUAAAAUUACCAAGAACAUUUAAAGAAAAAUUUCAAAAGAAAUAAAAAUUAGAAAGAAAAAUCAUUAAAUUUUUUUUUAAUAAUUUUAAUUAUUUUGUAGCAAAACCCAUAAAAGUUACUUUAAAGAAUUUAAUAAUUUCUUUAUAAAUUUCACCAUUUUUCAUGAAAAAUGUGUUUUUUAGGUCUGACUAUCUUAUUUACACUUUAAUCUCAUUCUUUAUACUUAUAUCCGAAAACCUAAAUUUUUCUAUAUACUUUUAGAAGUGAGGAUUAAAAUUUUCAUAAAUACCAAAAUUAAUACCUUAAUCUUUACAAGAUAGUUGAAAGUAAAAUCUUUUAAUUAAAAUUUAUGUUUCAUAUAAUAAUAAUAAUUCAUUACGAAAAUGGUAGUAGUUUAAAAGUAUUAUUUUUUAUGAUUUAAUUAAAUCCAAUAAAAAAUAAUUAUAAAAAGAGAAAAAGAUUGAAUAAGCAAGAAGAAAGAAAUGUCAAUAUUAAAUAAGAUUUUUUUUAUUAUUGUUCAAUUUUAAUAUUUUAUUAGUAAUUAAUGGUUAAUAUUGUUUUUUUUGGUAAUAAUAUUUAAUUGUUAUUAUUUUGAAAACUAAAUUUAUAUUCUUUUUAGAGGGGGUAAUUUUCUAUUUUGGUUUUUAUUUUCCUAAAAAAGUUUAUCAUAUAAGGGAAUUUUUUGUUUCUAGAAAAUUGAGGGGGGACACAUGGUCCUCUGAGCCUUACUUGGCUCCGCCAGUGGCAGCAGGACUCAUGUCCUGGACAAAGUUAGGCCCAACGACUCAGGUCUUUCCAUGUUUUGCUUCUUUCCAGUCAAAAAAUGCGUGCCAUUACAGGUCGAUAAGACUCGGAAAUUACGCCCAAAGCACCAAACCCCAUAAGAUGGAGGGGCGUUUUGGUCAUUCACGUUAGAUAUUUUCCCCACUGUGAUGUGUCUUUGAGCGGUGGGCAAAUAUGACUUGGUCUUUGCGCGGUUGGAAGCUUUAUAUGUCUUGGAAUCUGGAAAAGUCUAUUUUAUCGUAUGGAAAAUGAACCAUUCGAUAUACAUAUAUAUAGCCUAGGUUCUUGUGAGCAAAGGCAUAUAUCCUAGGUUUUGUGAGCAAAGGGUGUGCAUUGUAACCAUGGCUAAAGCUCUCCUCGUUUCACCUUCCUACUUCAUCUUCUUCAUCUUCCUCAUUUUCUCUUCUACCACAAUCCCAGUUUUCGGAGAAGAAUACAGCUAUGUUCAAAGUGUCAAUCCUAAGAAAAUGAAAAUGCUGAGGGAAAAGGUAAGUCAUUUUAAACUUUAUUGGCAUGAUCUUGUUAGCGGGUCUAAUGCAACCUCAAUUACAGUGAUUAAAGCAGUGAAUAACACAACACCAUAUUUUGGUAUGAUAAAUAUAAUUGAUAACCCGUUAACCGUUGGGCCUAAUUUGAGCUCAAAAACAGUUGGAAAGGCCCAAGGGCUUUAUGCAUCUACGGGACAAAAAGAUGUUGAAAUAUUGAUGGUUAUGAAUUUUGCAUUCACUGAUGGGAAGUACAAUGGUAGCACAUUCACUGUAUUAGGACGAAACAAUGUUCCUGCUAAGGUAAGGGAGAUGCCAAUAAUCGGUGGCAGUGGGCUUUUCCGAUUUGCUAGAGGUUAUGUUCUAGCAACAACUUAUGAGCUCAGCAACACUGGAGAUGCCAAUAUUGAAUACAAUGCCUAUGUAAUACAUUAUUAAUGUGUGUGUGUGUGUGUUUUUUUUUUUCUAAUUUUUCUAUGGAGCUUUGGUCCACAAUAGUGAUAUACUUGAAUAAUCGUAUGCUCCCAACGUUAACUAAGUGGGAUUCUCUAGUUUUGUUUAGUUUGAAUAAAUUAGGUGGUUUUUACUUCACCUAAUUGAAUGUAAGCAUACAAUAAUAAAAUAAAAUGCUUAUUUACAUGGAUUAAUUAUUUUCUUGAAAUUUGUUAAACUAUACCUUAUUCUAAAAAUCAACAUUCAAAACUGGAUCGGAUAUUGAAUCGAAAAAAUUACCAAUUCACAAUUCACAAAUCGGACCGAUGGUCCAACCAUGAUCAAACCGUCAUAAAUAUAUAUAUUUUAUAUUUUAUUUAAAUUAAAUAAUAUUUAUAAUAUUAUUUAUUUAUUAUUAUAUAAAUGUAUUAAUGGUUUAAAUUUAUUAAACAAAAUAUAUAUAAUAUUUAAAUAUGAAAUAUAUUCAAAAUCGUAAAUACAAAAAAAGUCGUAAUUAAAUAUGAAAACAAAUUGAAAAUGAAAAAAAAACACGUGAUUUAUAUAUAUAUAUAUAUAUAUAUAUAUAUAUAUAUAUAUAUAUAUAUAUAUUAUUUUUUGAAAUAGGCUAUGUACUUAUUUUCUGUUAAAAAUAAAAAGGAUGCAGCAUAGUGGAGUAGUAAUGCUCGUUAUGAUAUUCGUCACCGAUUAUCGGUCGGUAUUUGUCGGUAAAUUUACCGAUUUUUCUGGAAAUUUCCCGAUAUUUCCUACCAGUCCAGCCCGCGCACAGGAUACAAAAUCUGUCCAAUUUUUUUUUUAAAAAAAACAUAAGGCGUUAUUUGGUAAUCUGAUCAUGAUUUGCAGGCAAAGGUUGUGUUUUUCCGCCUGGCUCAAAAAUUGUGGAUUUAGGGUUCGUGAAAUUUAAAUCGAAUGGCACAAAAGCAAAGAGACACCUUAGAACAGAUCCAGAAAACACAGGGAGCAAAAAAAAAUUUUGGUUUUCCUUGGGGGUUUUGCAUGGAUUUUCUCAGAAAUCAAACGAGGAUGAAUUUUCCCGGAAAUCGAAUGAGGGGUGGAUUUUCUUGGGAAUCAAACGGGGGUUGCAAAAAAAAAAAAAUAAUAACAUGAUUAGAUUAGUACCUGCAAGGAUUGAGAGUGGCAGAGGAAAAUAGGGCCUUCUCAGGGAUUCUCUCGUCUGGAGGGCAACUUCAGAAAAGGGCUUCUUGAUGCCCGAGUGAGAAAGAAGCAUAUCAAGUGAGCAAUUUUCCGUGGGUGGCCCUUUUUAUUUUUAGAUUUAGUAGAGAUAAAAUAAAAAAAAAAAAAAAAAAAAAAAGGAAGCAUAUCAAGUGAGCAAUUUUCCUCUCCCUAUAUAAAUAAUUAUUAAUUAUCCAUCUUUAUUUUGAUUAAAUCACUACCAUGGAUUAAAAUUUUGGUUUUUAUCGAUCAUAUUUUAUGAAUUAAAAUUAAUUUGAUAAGAUAAAUUAUUAAUAAUUUUAAUUAUUUAAAUAAAUUAAUAUUAAUAAAAAAAAGUUGUUAUCAUAUUUUUAAUAAAAUUUUAGAAAUUAAAUCUCAAAUAAAAUAUUUUAUAUAAAUUAUUUUAAUUUUUCAUUUAAAAUGUAAUAAAACAUGUUUUAAUAAAAGUAUUUUAAAAUAAAUAUUAUCAUCAACAAAAUGGCUCUCUUCGUCUAAUAAUAUGAUAGAAUUACAUCAAUAUUCAUUUUGAUACUAUGACUAUUGCAAUGUCAUAUGUAUUAUAUUUAUGUAUAAAUUGUUUUUAUUUAAUAAAAUCAAAUAUUUUUUAACUCAAUUCUAAUUUUAUACACUUCCAAAAUUCAUAUUUAUUACUCUUAAAAUUCAAAUAUCAAAUUUAUCGAUAUAUCUCUAUCUACUGAUAUAUAUAUAUUUUUAUCAUAUUUAUGUCAAUUAUACUUACAAAAUGACUUUAAAAUAUGUGUAUUUUCUUUUUCUUUUUUCUUUUUUAUUUAUCAUUUUUUAGAGUUUUUGCAAGCAUUCCCAUAAAUUUUAAAUAAUUUCCACUUCACCGAUAUUUGUGAAAAAAAAUAUUUACCGAUAUUUUUAAUAUAUUCGCAAAAUCGAAGUAUCGAUAUUUUCAUCAUUGACCUAAUCCCACAUCGGAAGUAAGAGGAAAAAUAAAGUGCUUUAUAAACCUCUUCCCAUGUAACACAAGUUGGGUAAUCAAGUCAAGUGGUUGUUGGGCCUUAUGGCACAACCCCUGAUUAGGGGUCCAUUUUGCAAGAUGGGUGUGGGCUGUCAAUGUUGAGUCUGGGAGAGGAUAUAGGCCAUUUUGCCCAAAAAAAAAGGGUAGGCAAACAAUGUUGGCCGAAAAAAAUAAAAGUUGGGGUGUUGAACAUUGAUAACCGACCUAAAAGGAGGAAUCGGACAAGAAAGGUCAUCGAUUGACGGCGAUUUUUAAAAUAUUGCUAAAAAUAAUAAUAAUAAUAAUAAUAAAUUGGAGAGAAGUAGAUUUCAAAGCUCAUAUCAAUAAAGUUGAAGUAUAUCACUUUUCUAUUCAACUUAAGCUAGUUUUUAUGGGUUGAUUUGAUAUGUUUGAAUUAUCAUACAUAUGGCUUUUGAAAAUAAGGCUAACUGGGUGGACCUACCUUGACUUUGUUUACCAAGAAUGACAUAUUUCUUUGAUUUCACGUUACUCAACUUAUCUUGACCAAACUAAAACAUAUUCAACUUUGAAAUUUCACUAGUUUUUAGUCAUAUGUAAUGAUAAUGAAGUUAGAAAAUGCUAAAAAAAUUGAGUAGCAUUCUCAUUUACAAAAAUGCUUUUUAGAAAUGUUUUGAUAAAAAAUUUAUUUAGCUUGACGUGAUACAUAAGUUGACUUUUUCUUUUAUUUCACUUAAUAUAUGGUUUAAUUGAACAUUUUUCAAAAGAAGAUAUGAUUCUUAAACAACAACCUUUUCCCAUUAUUUACAAAUUCUACAAGGUCCAUGUUGGGAAUUGUCCCAAAUUCCUAAUUAGUAAAUAUUCCUUUUUGUAAAGAAUAUUAUAUAGAAUAUUUCUAGGUUGAUAUAUUAUUGUAAUAUUAGACUUCCUUAUAGAAUAAGGAAGGUUGUAGGAAAUAUCUCUAUAAAUAUUCUAGGUCAUGAGGGGAAAAAGUUAUGAGAUGGAGAUGGGCCUAUAGAGACUAUACGAGGUGGAUAGAGAUGUGAGGAAGAACGGGAGGUACCUGGUGGAGCGAGAGGGCUCGUAGUAAGGUAUGGAUACAAGGAGUGGGGAAACAUGGGAUGUUUCGGGAACCCAAUAGUUGUAUCUGGUUCUAUCCUCUGUAAUAUUCUCUAUUGUAUAGUGAAAUUAUUCUCUCUCAUCCGUGGACGUAGGCAUGGUUGGCCGAACCACGUUAAAACCUCGUAUGUGUGAUUGUUUUAUCUUUGUGUUAUUGAACUAACAUUGUUGGCAUCAAAGCUUUCGUUGGCACUACAGUCCAUAGCUAGGGUUUGAAUCAAAAUGGGCUAAAAAUUAAUGUCAUCUCAAUUUUGCUUCAUUUUUGGGACAAGCAAUCAUGACAAUCUUGAAUGGAGUUCAUGUGUCUAACAUAUCAACGUCAGAAGAAAAAUAACUAUAAAAAGAACAAGCUUCUAAUAAUUUUUAUAUCUUAUAUACAAAUUAUUAUUAUUAUUUUAUAAUUUUUAAAAAAUAUAUGAAAUACAUUCAAAUGGACACUUAAUUAUAAAUAAAUGAUAACUAUUCUACCAUUUCUCUAAUACAAAAAAAAAAAAAAAAAGGCGUUUGAAUCUUUUUAAAUGAAUUUAGCAUUCACAAAGCUUUAAAUCAUUAUUUUUUCUACUUGAUUGUGUAAUAGUAGAUGAUGAAAAAUUAACAAUAAAUGAUUAAUUAUCAUCAUAAGUUUAAACUUUAUCAAUUGUCCUUCUAUUAAAGCAAGGUGACAAAUUGAAUGUGAUUGAGGUUGUGAGACCCAUUAAUGUAGAGAGGAAUUCAAAAUCCUAAUAAAAAUGUAUUUCAAUUAAUAAUGAGUUUUUAAUUUAUAUUCUCAUUUUUAAUAAUUAAUUCACAUAAAAUAACAAAUUAAAAGUGAAAUGGGUUUUUCAAUUCAAAUUUUUUUUCAAUGUUUCAAUGACCGAAACAAUUCUAAUUUUUUUUUUUAAAUUUAAAAACAAGGUGUUGAGUAAAUUAACUUAAUUACCUAAUUUAAAUUAUUAAAUAAAUUAAAUAUAUUUAAUAAAAUAAUUUAAUAUUAAAAUUAUUUUUAAUUUUUACCUCUUUUUUCUCUUAAAAUAAUUAACAUAUAUGUCAGACCUACUUUGGCUCACAAGUUUGAAUGGUAAAAUGAUAAUAGGAUGAAGGGUUUUGGCCCACCACAAUAAACCUUAGGGCCCACUUUGAUUGCGGCUUGCCAACGCGGAACCAUAUUGUGGACCCCGCAUUUCGGCUCAUACGUUCCCCACUCGAUGGCGAGCUCGAUUUUUAUUUGAAAAUUUGAUUUUUUAUUUGAUUAAGAAAAUUGACUUGGAGUCGCCACUUAUUUUUGUUUUAUUUUAAAAGGGUAAACAAAAUAAGAAAGAAAAACCCUAAGUGUGACUCCUUAUUUUGGAAAAGGCGGUCUGUGAAAAACCGGAUCGGGUUCGGGGGUCAGGUUACUUAUCGGGAAGGUACGGUAAACACCGUAACACCCCUUUAAGUCCCUAAAGUCGGGUCUCUACUAAUAAAAUGAAGCAAUCAUGACAAUUGAUGAGAUAAUCAAUGAAUACUCAGAGUGAUCAUGCACAUGUGAGAAUCUAAACAUGCGUACAGAAAAUGACCCAAGCGGGUGUGGAUGCGUACCUGGGCAGUGAUCCAUAAAGCGCUAUCAAGAAGUGAGAUUAGUGCACAACUAAAGAAUAGUCACAUGCAUAUCAUAGAGCAGAAUAAAUCAUGUAUGGCAACCGAAUCAACCAAACAAUCCAUCAAUCAUAAAAUCUCAUAUGUUGGGCCCCCACCAAAGCCCAUUUCUAUUUUUGCAUGAAUUCAUCUCAUAAAUUCCAUUGUUUGGAAUUACGAAAAAUUCGUUCAUGCUUAUUAAAAAUAAGAGGAGCAGAAGAUUAUUUGAAAACCAGAAUGAAAUUAAGUUAUUUGAGAGAAAAUUGGAUUUUUGAAAUUCAUUUGAAAAAUUGGAGUCUCGAAAGUUAUUUAAAGAAAAUUGGGACUUUAGAAAUUAAAUUUUGAAAGAAAUUAGAAUUGGAAAUUAUUUAAGAAUUAGAAAUCAUGAAAAUUAAAUUACAUAAAUUGGAAUUUUGGAAAUUAUUUGAAGGUGGAAUUUUUCUAAAGAUAAAUAACUAAAAUGAUGAUGAUAAUAACAUUAAUAACAAUAAAUAAAUAAAUAAAUAAGUGGAAUAAUAAUAAUAAUAAUAAUGAAAACAAUAAUUAAAUAGAUGAACGUAAAUAGUGAAUUUUUUGAAAUUGGAAAUUAAAUUUGGAAAUUGGAAAAUUGGAAUUUCAGAGAUUGGGAAUUUAAUUUGGAAAUCGGAAUUUUUAAAGGAUUAUUUAAAGAUGAAAAUUUGUAAGAUAAAAUUAUUUGGGUGCUAGAUUUCCAUAAAUCAACUUUUAAAAUUUGAGGGCUUUGGAAAUGGGCCAAGGGUGAUAACCAAGCAAAUGGGAGCAUUUAGGAAUGGCCAAGGUGGAGAGAAAAUUUAAAAUGAUGCUCAUGGGCCUGGGCUUCAAAAUGCACUUUGAGAUGACCCUAAAAUGGAGAAAGGCCUUCAAAAUGCACUCACGGGCCUUGGGCUUCUCCAAUCCAUUGUGCAAGAAAAUAAGUUUAGUGGGCUUUGGAAGUGGGCCAAGAAAGGUGGCCAUGCAAAGGUGGGUUGAUGGGUAUUUGGAAAAUGGGUAUGUGGUGUAGAGAGAUAACCGGGUAGGGAGUAGAAAGUGAGUGAGUUAGUGAGAAAAUGAGGGUUGGUAGUGGUGGUGGUGUAGAGAGAGAAAACAGUGCAUGAAGGGUAUGUGGUGUAGAGAGAGAAAGGUGGUAAGAAGAAGAAAAAUGGGUAAGUGGAGGAUAGUUAUGCAUGGGAGGGUGGUGAUAUACAUGAGGGCAUGGAGGAUACGGGUAUGGAGGUUAGCAUGGGUAUGUGUUGAUGAAUGGCAACCAUGGGGGGUGGCCAUGCAUGCACGAUUCCCAUGCAUGUAGGUGGGUGGCUUUGGGAUUCCUAUGGGGAUGAGCAUGGCAUGGGUAUGGUGGGCAGCCGGGUAUGAAAAGGGAUGGUUUGCAUGGGUAUGAGGGGUGAUGGCUAUGGGUAUGGUGGGCAGCCGGGUAUGAAAAGGGAUGGUUUGCAUGGGUAUGAGGGGUGAUGGCUAUGGGUGCAUGCAUGGGAUGAGUGAUAUGGAACGAGCUAGUGAGAGAAAGGGUGAUGGGAAGGAAAAUGGGUAUGAAACAAUGGGUUUGAUGGCUAUGGGUGCAUGCAUGGGAUGAGUGACAUGGAACGAGCUAGUGAGAGAAAGGUGGCGACAUGCAUGGGUAAGGUGGGCAUAGAAGGGUGGUGGCAUGCAUGGUUCCAUGCAUGGCUUCAUGCAUGUGGAUAGGAAGUGGGCAUGAAGAACGUGGUGUAGAGAGAGAAAGGUGGCGACAUGCAUGGGGGGAAUAUGCACCGAAUAGUGAGAGGGAAUGGGUUUGGUGACGUUCAAGAAGAAAUGGAGGUGUGUAUGAGAGCUAUGGAUGGGUAUGAGAGCAAUGGGAAUGCAUGAGGGAUAGGUUGAUGGGCAUGGUGGAUGGCAAUGGGGAAACGGGCAGUGGGUUUCAUGCGCACAAGGAGUGAGAAAAGGUGGUGGCGGGUAGCAAAACAGUUCAAACGAGACAACAACAAUUAACAUCUCCACAUAGAGCAAAAUGAAGCAACAAAACUUCUCCAGGUUAAAACCAAUACUAAGAGGGAUCAUGAAUGAAACGAUCAGCAUGCAUACGAAGAAACCAGAAAUUGAUGUUACUCAUAUAUAAAUCUUGUUAUUCCUAAACAAGCAUAAAAGCGGAACUCGAACAACUCUAGGAGAAAGAGAAAACAGUAGUGGUAAAAAAAUAAAGCAAAGGAUACAUGAUGAGCUUACCUGGAUGCUCCCUCGAGCAAAAAUAUUUGGAUCUCACAAAACCUCCACCUUUGUUUAGCCUCCUCUCCGAGAAAAAGAAACUCCUCUAGCCUGCGUCCCCCUCCCCAGCUCCCAGAACCCCCUUUUCAUUCCUCUGUUGGUGUCUUCUUCAGCAAGCCAACCCUCCAUUUCCAGUUCAUCACGUCAGCAAGCAUGGGCUUGCAACCACUCUCCUCGCUGCCCACGUCUCUUGCCGUGUCUAUGAAGUUGUUCCCUCUUUAGAAAAGGGGUCCCCCCAUCCUACCAAAAAAAAGAAAAACACCCUUCUCUCGGGUGGUGGCAGCCAAAAUAAAAAUAAUCCCCUUGGUCUUGCAAGGAGGGGUCUACACAUAUUUUAAAAUUAAAUAAUUUUAAAUAUUAAUUAUGUAAAUGUAUGAAAUUAAACCAUCAUGGUACUAAGAAUAUUUCUAAAAAGUUUUAGAUGUUAUAUAUAUAUAUAUAUAUAUAUUUUAAAUUAUUAAAAAUAUUUAAAGGAAAUUUUCAAAAGAAAUUGAAAUUAAAAAAAAUUAUUAGAAAUUUUUAAUAAUUUUAAUUAUUUCGUAACAAAAACCUGUAAAAAUUAUUUUAAAGAAUUCAAUCAUUUAUAUUAUAAAUUUUGGUAUUUUUUAUAUGAAAAAGAUGUAUGUCUUUUAAGUCGUUGUUUUAUAACUUGAUUUAAUUUAUUUAUUACCUAAUAUUAUUCUUAGUUCUUAUAUCAAAAAGCUUAAAUUUUUUCAUGUUCUUUUGAAAGUGAUGACUAAAAUUUUCAUAAAUAUCAAAAUUAAUACCGCUUAAUUUUUUCCCUUUUUAAAUAACUAAAUAUAAGAUAAUUUAAAGUAAAGGUUUUUACUUUAUAAAAGCAGUUUAAAAGUAUUAUUUUUAUGAUUUAAUUAAAUCCAAUAAAAAGAAAAAAAAUUGAAUAAACAAGAAAAAAGAAAUACCAAUAUUAAAUGAGAUUUUUUUAUUUUUGGUUAUUUUAUUUCAAUUUUAAUAUUUUAUUAGUAAUUAAUGAUCAAUAUUAUUUUUUUGGUAAUCAUAUUUAGUUUUCAUUAUUUUAAAAAUUAAAUUUAUAUAUUUUUUGGUUUUUAUUUUCCUAAAAAAAUUUAACAUAUAAGGGAAUUUUUUUGUUUCUAGAAAAUCGAGGCUGGGGGGACACAUGGCCCCCUGAACCUUAGUCGGCUCCUCCGGUGACGACACGACUCAUUUUCUAGAAAAAAGUUACGUCCACUCCGUGGCCUGUCCAAGUUUUCCUUUUUUCCAUUAAAAAAUUGUGUGCUAUUAGAAGUCGAUAAGACUUGCAAAUUAACCCAAAACCACCAAGUGUCCAAGACACCAAAAGAUGGAGGGGCAUUUUGGUCAUUCUCCUUAGAAAUUUUCUUGAGCGGUUGGCAACUAUGACUUGGUCUCUGCGUGGUUGCGUGGUUGUAUGGAAAAUGAACCAUUAUAUAUAUAUAUAUAUAUAUAGCCUAGGUUUUGUGAGCAAAGGGUGUGCAUUGUAGCCAUGGCUAAAACUCUCCUCGUUUCACCUUUCUACUUCAUCUUCUUCAUCUUCCUCAUUUUUUCUUCUACCACAACUCCAGCUUUUGGAGAAGAAUACAGCUACGCCAAAAGUGUCAAUCCUAAAAAAAUGAAGAUGUUGAGGGAAAAGGUAAGUCAUUUUAAACUUUAUUGGCAGGAUGUUGUUAGCGGGUCUAAUGCAACCUCAGUCACAGUAAUUGAAGCAGUGAAUAACUCAUCAACAUCUUUUGGUAUGGUAAAUAUAUUUGAUAACUCGUUAACCAUUGGGCCAAAUUUGAGCUCAAAAACGGUUGGAAAGGCUCAAGGGCUUUACGCAUCUACGGGACAAGAAGAUACUUCAUUAUUGAUGAUUAUGAGUUUUGCAUUCACUGAUGGCAAGUACAAUGGUAGCACAUUCAUUGUGCUAGGACGGAACAAUAUAAAUGCUGAGGUAAGGGAGAUGCCAAUAAUCGGUGGCAGUGGACUUUUCCGAUUUGCUAGAGGCUAUGCUCUAGCAUCAACUUACAACGAUGGCGCCACCAUUGAAUACAAUUGUUAUGUCAUACAUUAUUGAUUUUUUUUUUUCUAAUUUUUAGUGGAGCUUUAGUUCACGAUAGUUAUAUACUUGAAUAAUUGUGUGUUCCCACCAUAGCUAAGUGAGAUUCUCUAGUUUUUCUUAAUUUGAAUAAAUUAGGUGGCUCUUACUUCACCUAGAUGAAUGUAAGCAUACUAUAAUAAAAUAAAAUAAAAUGCUUAUUUGUGUGGAUUAAUUACUUUCUUGAAAUUUGUUAAACCGUACAUUAUUCUAAAAAAAAAAAAUUGGAGAGAAGUAGAUUUAAAAGCUUAUAUCAACAAAGUUGAAGCGGUAUCACUUUUCUAUUCAACUUAAGCCCGUCUUUGUGGGUUGAUUUGAUAUGUUUGAUUUAUGACAUAUAUGACUUUUGAAUAUAAGGCUAAUUGGGUGAACUACCUUUGCUUUGUUUAAUAAGAAUGACAUAUUUCUUUGAUUUCACAUGACUUAAAUUAUCUUAACCAAACCAAAAUAUAUUCAACUUUCACUAAUUUUUAGUCAUAUAUUAUGAUAAUGAAGUGUGAACACGCUCAAAAAUUUGAGCAGCAUUCUCAUUUACAAAAAUGUUUUUAAGAAAUGUUUUGAUGAAAGUUAUAAAUUUUAUUUACCUUGACGUGAUACAUAAGUUGACUUUUUCUUUUAUUUCACUUAAGAUAUGAUUUAAUUGAACAUAUUUCAAAAGAAGAUAUGAUUCUUAAACAACAAUCUUUGCCCAUUAUUUACAAAUUCUACAAGGUCCAUAGCUAAGGUUUGAAUCAAAAUGGGCUAAAAAUUAAUGUCAUCUCAAUUUUGCUUCAUUUUUUAGACAAGCAAUCAUGACGGUGUUCAAUAAGUUCAUGUGUCUAUAACAAGCAAGCAACUAUAAUAGAAUAAGACCAUUUUUAUUUUUAUUUUUGCUAUUUGUAUGGUCCAAUAUGUUGCGCUCAUUACAAUUUGAGCCAUAGCCUAAUGGGCUUUUUACCCCAUGAUGUGGUUACCAAUUAAAAAUUGGACCUCAUUAGGGUUCACCAAGUAUAAAGCCCCUUUACCCUUGAAGAUUAAAUGGAGAUUAUUUGUCAUAGGUGAAAAGAGAGAGAGAGACUUAUAUUUAAACUUUUAAAUUGAAAGACCCUUGACCACUAAUUGUUAAUCUAAGUGAAUGAAAGAAAAAUCAAAUAACUCUCAUUUUGAGCAUUCAAGAGUAUCUUUUUUAGAAAAUUGAUAAAAUAAUAUGAUUAGAUAAUUUGGUUAGAAAAAAUAAUAUAUAUAUGAAAGGUUUGGUAUAUUGGUGCCAAACAAUACAUAAGAAAAUACUACAAUUAGAGAAAAAAGUUGGGAACAAUGCAUGUAUGUAUGUCACUAAUUUUUUAGUUAGGAAAACUUGUGUUUUGGGUCGGCCAUUUGCAAAUAAUAUGGUUUCCAAAACCCAAGAAUAGGAAAUCUAGGAAUCAGUUUGUUAAUAUGGAAAAUAAUAUUGUUUUGUGCACUCUAUGCUAACUUUUUUUUUUCUGUGCCCAAAUUGCCCUCACCCACUCUCCAUGUCAAUAGUCACAUUAACAAGUUGUUUCCAAAACAAAAAAAAUAAAAUACAAAAAAUACAAAAACAAAAAAUUAUGUUGUUUAAAAUUUUAGGGAAACUUCAUUUCUCUCAUUCACUUCCUUACCACACCCAAGACCCAUAUUCCCAAAACUUCUUCAUCUCAUUUUGCCCUAACCCCAAAUCUGAAAUAUCCCAACAUUUGAAAUCCGAAAACGAUUGAUUUUACAACAACUGAGGUUUUCCCUUCACCAUGAACCCCAAAUAGAAAACCCUAAUCUUGAAACCCAUAUUUUCUUUUUUCAUUAUCAAAGUUGAAUUUUUUUAAGGUUUCUAGAAACCAAACUGAAGUUUUCCCUUGUUUCAGAUGAAUCGAUCGCAAAUGAGUUUUCUGAGAAAAUAAAGGCUAGUAAGAAAAACACCUAAAAGGGGGGUGAAUUGGGUUUGUCAAAAACUUUUUCAACACAACUAAUUUAAGCACAAUAUAAGCAAAUAUAAAGAGAUAGAGUUAGAGAAUUCAAACUCAGAUUUUAUAGUGGUUCGACACUUUCUUACUUACGUCCACUUUCCUUAAGCUCCUAACCAAGUGAGAGUUCCACUAACUUGAAGCUUCAACCAAGUUUCUAAUCUUCUUUACACUUGGAUUCCGGCUCCAAUGGGUACUUACACAAUCUCUUCAAGAUUCAACACACUUGAAGACUCUAACACUCAAUUUACAAAAAUGAUUUUCUCUCAACCUAGAUCAAUAAUGACUCAAAUACAAAUCAAAGUUAAGAUGGCUCACAAGGGUGCACUAAAAGAUAUGCAAGUGAAGAUUUAAUGUACUAAGAAAUAAAUGAGAGCUUUUAAGGCAAGAACAAGUGGGUAGACAAUUGAAUGCAAGCGUUCUUUUCUACAUAAAUGAAGUGGAACUCUCAAUUUAUAGGUUUUUAAGCUCGGGAGCCAAGAAAAGCAAAAAGCAACCUUAACCGGUCGAGUUGGGGGUCAACCGGUUUACUAGCGAUUGUAACAUUUAAUACUUUGGCAGGUUACCGUUGCCUCGAUUGGACCUCGACUGGAGGUUGACCGGGAAAGAGGGUACCUCAACCGAGAAAGAAAGGCUAUUGGAUGAGAGAUAGUGUUUUUGACACUCCUCGACUGGACCUCAUCUGAUAAGGGCAACCGGUCGACCGAUUCCCUGGCCGAUUGAGUCGGUUGGUUUGUGUCUCGAUCAGUUCAGCCUUUUGGCCCCGAAAACCUAUCUUUUUCAGUUCUUUUCCUUUCUAACACUUAGGCAAGGUCUUUAGGUAAAUUAAUAUGUCAAUUUUGAAAUAUUUUGCCUCAGAUACAUUUGAUAAAACUCGGGUUUUAAUGAAAUUGUAACUUUAAAGAAUAAACUGAGUUUUCCAAAAAUGCAUAAAAAGAUAUGUAAAACCAUAGUGCACCCAUACAUUCAUCUUACAUUUGUUUCCUAUGAUUAAAAGUCUUCCAAAUGUCUCGAUCUUGUAUCCAUUUGGUCGUUUGAUGAAUUUCCAAAUUUAUACCUGAGAUUCUUUACAAUUCAAACCAAUUAGUCACUUAACCAUGGUUUGUUAUCAUCAAAAUUUGAUUAGGAGACCCCUUGGGCUAACAAUCUCCUAUUUUUUUAUGAUGACAAACCUUGGUUAUCUAGGAGAAGAAAAAAAUCUCUCCCUCAAACCAAUCAUGGAUCAAUCAAUCAAAAUUUACGAUGUUAAAACAAAGAUAAUGAAAACAUGCGAAUUUUCAAUAGGAAACGAUGUAAGUCGUGAAACAUAUAACAUAUCAUAUAUAUAGUAAAGUCAAAUGUACACGAAACAUAAACAUAUAAGCUAAUCCAAACAGAUGAUAUGACAAUGAUAUGCAUGAGUCUCCUAGAUACUAAAUAUCUCUCCCCCUUUUGGCAACAUAAAAAAGAAACGAAGGGAGAUCUCUAUGAAAUCAAGGUUGAGGAGGUGGAAGUGGAAACACGGAGUGUAGGUAAACCAUCAUCUACUCAUGUUGACUUUCCUGGUGACUCUCAAUAAGCUUUAUCCUCUGCUGGAGAUGUUUAAACACAGGUUGCUGCUGAUCUAUGCGAUUCUUCAUACGCUCAAAUCUCUGCUACAAAUACUCAAAAUGAAAUGUGAAGUCAGUCUUAUACUUAUCCAUGUGAUCCUCCAUAGAGUAGAAUCGAGUAUCACUAACUACUGCAAACUCCUCCAUGCGAGUGUCGAGAGAGCUAAUCUAAGCAGAUAAAUCCAUCCAAGGUGCAUGAUCAGGGGCGUGAGGUGCCUGAUGAGGUGAUGUCUCUGUGUAAGAAGGCUCAGUGAAAGAUGGCUGAGAAGAUGGUCCCGCUGUGUAAGCCAACUCAGAGAAUGUGGCUUCAAACUAAACACCCUCGGACUAGAGUGGAAGAAUGUCAAGCUCAGGCUCUCUCUACUCAAAGCCUCUCUAAGGGUCUAAUCCACCCUCCAUCUCUCGUAUCUCAGCCUCUUCCUCUACUCCAUGAUGCACAUGUCCCUGUCCCCAAGCCUGUGUUGGUGGUCUCUCUCCUAUCUUGAUCCAGGAACCAUCGGGGGCCUUCUCAAAUUUCAUUUGCCCCAAGGACUGCUCAUCAUAUGUGACGUAAAUGCUGGGAACCUCAAAAUUUGUCUCCCUGCUCAAAUCAACCCCAACAUCCUUGAACACUCUAGUGAGAAAGCGGUUAUAUGGGAGUACGCGGGUCAUGCUCUCACAACAUGAUAUCAUGUGCAUCAUCAUCAAACACCCCACGUGAAUCCAUCUCCCCGUCAAAAUGGAGUCCAUGAGGAAUGUGUCAAGGUAGGAGACCUCAUCUCGGUGUUUGCCUCAUGGCAGUAUGAUGAAGCAGAUCAUGUGGUGAAAUACUCAACUGAUCAUGGUCAGGCUAUGGGUCGAUGGUUUGCCCAUCCCCUGGGCGUCUGCAAGUCUGCAAAUCCUCUAAAUGGCCUUUCUAGGCUCGAAACCUGACACAGUGGGCCAAGCCUUGGACUCAGACACCCUGAGUUCAACUGGAGCAAUAUUGAAAAUGUGGCAGAUGUUCUCUGGGUCCAACUGAAUCUCAACUCCUCUAACGGUGGAAAUAAUCAGGUCACCAAGUCCAUAUGUAGCCCUCAAAUAGAACGCACGCACCAAAGUCGGGAAAAUAGGCUCUAAAAUCGUCACUACUGGCAGCCAACCCAUCCAACUGAAAAAGCUCUCAAACCCGAAAUGCUGUAGUUGGGAGAGAUUGAUGCUUCUCCCUGGAACUACUUUUCUCUUAGCGAACUUUUGCUUGUAACUCUGAUAAUCAUCCAUGGUGCUAAAAAGAGUAGUGUCAAACCUCGCCUUUCGGUAAACCUUCGUCUAAGCAAGCUGAGGCGACUCAAUUGGGUGUUUGCCCUGUGCCCUAAAGGCAGUCAAUUCUCUUUUAGGAGCCAUGAGAAGACGUGAGACACUGAAGAAAGAGCUAGUAAAGAGAGAAAUGAACACAAUCAAAAUCCCUAGGCGCGUGGAAAUGGAAAACAAGUCGAUUGUGACAUGCAGAAGCACUCCAAAGCCGAAACCCUAGCCUCCAAUUGUCCCAAAAAUCCAUUUCAAUGCCUGCAAUUGGUCCAAAAUCUUGCUCAAACUGGUCUCUGGAAGCAGAAAUGUGAAAAACCCUGAAGAAAUGAAGGAGAACAGUGGAGAAAACGAAGCGCGGAGGCUCUUUAAAUUCCCAACCCCGACGAACCGGCUGACCGGUCUUGGUUCAGUCAACCACCUGGUCAAUGGGUUUGACUUUUAACCUUUUGUGCAUUUUCUUGUCUCGUGGUCCUCCUCCUGCUCUUUUCAGUUGAAAUCCCCAAUUUUUUAUGCCCAAUGCCAAGGGAAUUUUGAUUUUUGGUUAAAAUUUUGACCAUUUAUCUAAGUAUAUGUUUAUAUGAUGCAAAUGACAUGAAAUUCAUGCAAUCAUAAGGAAUAUUCAUCAAGAAUUGAUUAAGCAAUCAUUAGAUCAUAAAGAAAUCACCCCUAGUUGUCUUCUAAUAUUAACAAAUUGUUCUUCACUUAGAGGUUUUGUAAAUAUAUCUAAAAGUUGAUAUUUUGUGCUUACAAAUUCAAGUGUUAUGCCAAUAUUUUGUGCAUGGUGUCUAAGAAAAUGAUAUUUAAACUCUAUAUGCUUAGUCUUAGAGUGUUGUACGGGAUUUUUUGAAAUAUUUAUGGCACUAGUGAUAUCACAUUUAAUAGGAACAUGCUCAAAAGAUAAAUCAAAAUCACUAAGUAUUUGAUGAAUUUCCAAAUUUAUACCUGAGAUUCUUUACAAUUCAAACUAAUUAGUCACUUAAUCAUGGUUUAUAUCAUCAAAAUCUGAUUAGGAGAACCCUUGGGCUAACAUUUUCCAUUUAAGGAUUUGUUUGGUUGUUGAUAAAGUCUUGGGGUCGAAGGUCUUUGUUUGAAGAAGACCCAAUUUUAGGGAUUGCAUGAGUUGGAAUUUCUUUUAUUUUGCUUCAUUUUCGCAUGAAUGAAAUAAAGGAUAAAUUUGUUUUGGUUAAAUAUAUGUUUGUAUUUGUAAAUAAAGUAGAAAAUUUUAUUUUCUUUCCAUGAUUUGUGUUAUCAUCAUAUUUGUAGGGAAAUUAGUUGAUCUAUAUUAUUGCUAGUUGAUGGAUUUUUUCUUUUAAUUUUAAUGGGAUAUAUGACAAUUAAUACUAGCAAAUAAAGAUAUGGGAAAGAUUCUAUGCUUGGUUGUUUUUAAUUGUAAUUGAUUUACUAAACUAGUUCAUGUUUGAUUUAAUAACAAAUUAAAUUAGUUCAUACUAUGUGAUGUAUUGUUGAUAACUUGUAUCUGCAUAUUUUGAUUCUUUGAUGGUUCGAUUUAUUGUUUGUAUGAAAUGUUCAAUGUUGCUUUAGUUUGUAGGAGGUGGAAUAAAAAUGUUUGAAAAAACUGACUAUAAGAAAUAGUGUAAAGGAUUUGCAUGAAUUGGUUGAGAGAAUGGAUAUGCAAAUGUGGAUUGCAUAUAUGUAUUAUGUUGGUGUGUAAGAGUCUUUGGUUAUUGUCUUGAACAAAGUAUGUUGUAUAUCACCUUAUUUAGUUACAUUUGCAUUCACUUACUGGUAUUUUAAUACACAUGUGUAAAAGAACAAAUAUAAAUUUAAUUAUGAAUGAACAUAAAUGUUAGCCCAAAGGUUCUCCUAAUCAAGUUUUGAUGAUAACAAAUCAUGAUUAAGUUACUAAUUGGUUUGAAUUAUAAAGAAUUUCAGGUAUUAAUUUGAAAUUUCAUCAAAUAACCUAAUGGAUGCAAGAUCAAGACUUUUGGAAGACCGUUAAUCAUAGGAAACAUAUGUAAGAUGAAUGCAUGGGUGCACUUAAGAUUUACAUAUCAUUUCAUGCAUCUUUGAAAAACUUAGUUUAUUCUUUAAAGUUACAGUUUCAUCAAAACCCUAGUUUUAUCAAAAGAAUCUUAGGCAAAUCACUUCAAAAUUGGAAUAUUAAUUUAUCUAAAGACCUUGCCUAAGUGUUAGAAGAGAAAAUACAAAAAAAAUAUAGGUUUUCGAGUCAAAAAUGGUGAACCGGUCAAGCCUCUGUCCAAACCGGCUCAAUCGGCCACGGUACCGGUCAGCCGGUUUCCUCUUCCUGAUCGAGGUCCGGUCGAGAGGAGCAAAAAACACUCUCUCUCUCUCUUCUAGUAGUCUUUCCUUCCCGGUCGAGGUCUAGUUGAGGGUAAUGGUCACCUGCCAAGUAUUAAAUGAUCCAACAACUAGUGAAUCGGUCGACUCCCAGCUCGACCGGUUGAGGUUGCUUUUUGGUUUUCUUGGUUCCCGAUAUUAGAAACCUAUAAAUAAAGAGCUUCACUUCAUUUAUGAGCAAGAGAACACCUACAUUUAUUUGCCCACCCACUUGUUCUUGCCUUAAAAGUUCUCAUUCUUUUCUUGGUGCAUUAAAUCUCCAUUUGCAUACUCUUUAGUGCACCUUUGUGAUUCAUCCUAACCUUGAGUUGUAUUUGAGCCUUUGUUAAGCUAGGUUGAAAGAUUCAUACUUGUUAAUUAAGUGUUAAAGCCUUCAAGUGAAUUGAAACUUAAAGAGAUUGUGUAAGAGCCUAUUGGAGCCAGAAUUCAAGUGUAAAGGUGAUUAGAAGCUUGGUUGAAGCUUCAAGUUAGUGGAACUCUUACUUGGUUAAGAGCUUGAGGAGAGUGAACGUAGGCAAGGAAGUGUUGAACCACUAUAAAAUCUGAGUUUGAUUUCUCUAACCUUAUCUCUUUAUUUUUGUUUCUCUUGUGCUUAAAUUUGUUGUGUUUAAAAAGAAUUUUUAAAAACUCAAUUCACCCCCUCUCUUGGAUGUUUUUCUCUUUUAAGAUUAGCCUUUAUCUUCUCAAUAAGUUAUAUAGAAAUGGUGACAGAUAUUUCAUAUUUGGAUGUGAUAUCAUAUUGGAAUUUGUUGUUAAGAAAAAUAAGAGCAUGUUUGAAAUGAAUGUGAUUUAGUGCUUUUUUUGUUUUGGGGAAAGUAUGUUUUGGAUUGGAGAUGUGAAUAUGAAUAGGAUUUCUGAAGCUAAGAUGGUCGAAAUUGAAGAAAAAUAUGCUUCGGUCGAAAGUUAUUACAUAUUGGGCAGUUAUUUGUUUUUGUAGGUUAGUCUUUUGUUAAUCUUAGGUUCUACCUUCAUUAAACUUUGGUACUACUUUUAUUAAAUGAUCGCUCAGAUUUUUUGUCGUUUGUUGGAUCAAAACAAAAUUUAUAACCUAAUUCACUCUUCUAUAGCAAUUUGUACCUGAUCAAAAAUUGGCUUUAGUACAAACUACUGUAGCAUAGUGGUUUUUAGGUAUCGUCCACAAGGAUGGAUUAUUCUUGGUGAUUAAGGCUUGAAUGAGAUGAUAAGAAGUGAUUGUGAAAAAGUGAAAUCAACUUGAAAUUGCAUGAUAAAAUUCCAAAUUAACAAUGUAUUCAAAUUGAAUUGAAAAUGAAGUUUAAAAGAGAAGAAAAUUUAUAAGAGGUGAGAUUCUCGGAGUUAGGAUUUUCUAGAGAGCAAUUUCCAUGGUGAAUGGGUGUUAAGAUCUAAUUUUCAUCAAGUUAGAUUGAAAACCUAAAUUUUCAUCUAAACCGAUUUUUGAUUUAACUUUAGAUCUAGAUCUAAUUUCUCUUCAAAUUAGGUAAUCUAAUCUAAGAGAUCAAUUUGAAUCAUAUAUUCAAUUCAUCUUAAAUUAUCUUCCAAUGAUUUCACACNNNNNNNNNNNNNNNNNNNNNNNNNNNNNNNNNNNNNNNNNNNNNNNNNNNNNNNNNNNNNNNNNNNNNNNNNNNNNNNNNNNNNNNNNNNNNNNNNNNNNNNNNNNNNNNNNNNNNNNNNNNNNNNNNNNNNNNNNNNNNNNNNNNNNNNNNNNNNNNNNNNNNNNNNNNNNNNNNNNNNNNNNNNNNNNGUCUUCCGGAUGCUUCUUCAUCAAGGAAUCUGGAGAGAAUGCCCUUUCGCACGAGCCCCAAGUGAUCCCGCAUGAUGGUGCGAAGUGAAGAAUCAAUCAGCUGGAAUUUCGUUCUUCUGGAGCGUUUCGCAUGACUGUGCGAAAAUUUCGCAUGGUCAUGCGAAAUCACUUCUUCACAAUUUCCUCAUAUGCUGCAGCCAUACUCUCUCUGUUUCAUUUCGCAUGAUUGUGCGAAAAUUUCGCAUGGUCAUGCGAAAUCGAAAAUCAUGCUAUUCCGGUUCUUCUUUGCAAAUUCUCUCAUUUGUUCAUGUUUAAUCCAUCUCCACCACCUUCAAUUAAGCUCCAAAGCUUGGUCCAAGUGCAUUUCCUCUUCCUCUUCAUCCACAUUAUGUAUCCUCCUCCGUUCCAUUUUCCAUUUGUCACUCCAUGCUUCAAAAAUCACCUUAAAAUAUCUCCAAAACUCAACAAAGAACCAUUAGAAUCUCUUGCAAGGGUAGCAAUGUAUUACUUGGGCAUAUUAGGCAUAAUUACUACUCAAAAGGUGUGAAACUCAUGAAAGUUAGUAUCUAAAAUAUGUGGUUUUUGAGUAGUAAUCAUUAAACUUAAGGACUACCUUUAUUUAACUUAGGUACUACCUUUAUUAAACUUAGGUACUAUCUUAAUGCACCUUAGAUACUACCUUAAUCUACUUUAGGUACUAUCUUAAUGCAACUUAGGUACUAUUUAAAUGCAAACCUUAGGUACCACUUGGAUGUACACCUUAGAUACUUCUUGGAUGUACACCUUAGGUACUCCCUUAAUGCAAACCUAAGCUAAUCUUAUCUACUAUCUUAAUUGAGCUUAGGUACUUCAUUCGUGGAGUAUAGGUACUUGAUUUGUGGAUCAUAUGUGCUUAAUUUGUUAACCUCGUGUAGUUCAUUUGUCAAUCUUAGGUACUACCCUUCUCAAUCAUAGGACCUAGUUUUGGCAUUGGUACUAGCUUGGAAUCCAUAGUUUGAAGACAAAUUGAGAAAUAUGGAACUUUCAAACUCAAUACACAAAUUGUUUAAUUGCAUUUUAUAUAUGAGCAUAACAUUAUUAUGUUGUACUAGGUUAGUGAGUUGGUUGGCCUUAAACGUGACAUUACUAUGAUGAAAUCUAUAGUUUAUAGGGUUGAUUUUCUUUUAAGGAUGAAUCAUGUAAAGGUGUGGUAUUAAAAAAAAUAUAGAUUUUUUAAAGAAUUUUCACAAAAUAAAUCAAGAAAUAUGCACUCAAAUAGUAAUGUUGUUAAAAUUCUAAAAGUGUCCCCUCAAGUAUUUUCUCUUCGACCAGCUAAUCCAUUUGUUUUGUUUUGCUUUGUUUUUCCUUUUUUAUUUUUAAACCUUCAUAUGAUAAGUGAAGAUAACUUCAUGAUGUUUAUCAAAUUGACACAUGGCUAAUUAAUAUGGCAUAUUAUUUUCCUUUUUUUUCUUCUUCUUCAUUUUACCUAUAAAAUAAUGCACAUUUUUUUAAUAUGUUAGUUACACAUUGUUAUAAAAUCUUUUUAAUUUCAUUUUUUUUUUCACUUUUUCAUCUUUUCAUAUUUAUUAAUUAUAAUUAUUUAUAAACACUUUAAAUAUAAAAUAAUAAUAAUAUAUGAUAAAUAAUUAAUGAAGAAAUUAAUAUAAAAAUAAAUACAAAAUGAACAAAUUUAGAGGUUUAGAAUAUAAGAUUUUAUAUAUUCAUGUUAAAUAAAAUACUUAUUUUUUUGAUAAAUCUUAUCAUAUAUAGAUUAAAAAAUAUCUUUGUCGUUUUAUUUUAUUGUUUAUCUUUUUUAAUUUUUAAAUUUUCAUGUGAAAAUAAAAAUCAAUUGUCAUGAUUUUUAACUUUUUGCUUAUGAUUCUUACUUAAUUGUAAUUUUAACUUUUUUUUUUCUUAGUUAAAAUGUUUAAUAUUUUUCAUUAAAGAAGAUAAACUUGAUUGUGAUUUUAACAUUUUGUUUUGUUAAAAUUUUUAAUUUUUAAUUUAUAAAAAAUAAAAAAAUUUAAAAGCUGUAUUUAAUCAUUUAUAUUAAUUUCUAUCAAUUCUAUAUAAAAUAAAAAUAUUUUUUUUAUAAAAAAUUAUAUUUAGUUAUUUAUAUUAAUUUUCUCUUAAUUUUAUUAAAAAUUAAAAUUUUUGCAUACUAAAAUUAUGUAUUAAUAAACACAACUUUUGAAAAAUAGAGUAUCAUUCUUUUAUAUACUUAUUUCAUACGGAGUGGUACUCUUUUUGUACCAUUUUUCUAAUAGUUGUGUUGACCAAUACAUAAUUUCAGUAAAAUAAAAUUAAUAUAAAUUAUUAUAUACAAUUUUUUAUAAAAAAAAAUAUUUUUUAUUUUUAAAUUUAUAUAAAUUAAAAAUUAAAAAUUUUAAUAAAACAAAAUGUUAUAACUACACCAAAUUUUUGUCUUUUUUAAUUAAAAGACAUUAAGCAUUUUAGUAAAGAAAAAAAAAUUAAAACCUAGAUGCUAAAUCUCUAUAUUUGUUCAUCAUAUAUUUAUUUUUAUAUUAAAUUUGUUCUCACUAAAUAUUUAUUACAUGUUAUUAUUUUAUUUUUAAAAUAUCAAUAAAUAAUUAAAAUCCUAAAUAUGAAAAAUGAGAUAAAAAUAAAAUAAAAUUGAAAUGACAUCCUAAUGCCAACACAUUUAAAAAACAAUCAAAUAAAAUGGAAGAUACAGAUAUUACAGAGGUAGGGAAAAAGAAAAAAAAAUGAUGUGGUAUGGCUGAUUCCCAAGCGUCAAAUUUUUUGUUUAAAACAAAACAAUAAUAAUGACAAGCUCUUUGAAUUGUUGCGUGUCAAACUAAAACUAAAAAAAUAAAAAAUAAAAAAACUUUCAUAAUUGGCGGCUCAUGAGGAUUUUCUGAAACUGAUAUUUUUUUUUUAAAUGGCACACGUGUAACAUGACUCUCCCUUUUAUAAUGCUUCUGUCUCUCUCUCUCUCUCUCUCUCUCUCUCUCUCUCUCUCAUUCUAUGAUGGAAUUUAUAGUCGGUUGAUUUUUUUAAUGCCCAUGAGCAGCUGAUUUUUGAGGUAAUUGAAUAUUAAUGGCUGUGAGACCCAUUCUCAUAUGGUCUCUCUCUCUCUCUCAUAUUCUAGAUAGAAUCUAUAGUCUAUAGGGUUGAUUUUUUUUAAUGGUUGUGGGUUGCUGAUUUUUGAAGGAAAGUGAUUAAAUAUUAAUGGUCGUGAGACAGUCCCAUUUGGUCUCUCUCUCCCGCUCUCUCUCUCACAUUCUAUGAUAGGAUCUAUAGUCUAUGGGGUUGAUUUUUUUAAUGCCCAUGAGGAGAUGAUUUUUUAUGGAAAGUAAUUGAAUAUUAACGAUUGUGAGACCAAUUCUCAUAUGGUCUGCCUCUCCCUCUCUCUCUCUCUCUCUCUCUCUCUCUCUCUCUCUCUCUCUCUCUCUCUCUCUCUCUCUCUCUCUCCCCCUAUGAUAGACUUUAUAGUCAGUAGGGUCGAUUUUUUUUUAAUUGCCCUGAGCAGCUGAUUUUUCUAGGAAAGUGACAGAAUAUUAAUGGUUGUGAGACCAUUCUCAUAUGUUCUCUCUCUAUUUCACCCCCUCUCUAUAGUCUAUAGGGUUGAUUAUUUAUUUAUUUUUUAUGCCCAUGAGCCAUCGGCAGCUGAUUUUUGAAGGAAAGUAGUUGAGUAGUAAUGGGUUGGGACUUGUGAGACCCAUAAAUGUAGAAAGGAAUUCAAAAUCCUAAUAAAAAUGUAUUUCAAUGAAUAAUGAGUUUUUAAUUCAUAUUCUCAUGUUUAAUAAUUAAUUCACAUAAAAAAAACAAAUUAAAAGUGAAAUAGAUUUUUUAAUUUCAUUUUUUUGCUUCAAUGUCUCAAAGAUAUAUAAAAUAUGAGGAUUAUUCUCAUAUAUUUGAAAGGUUUACAAAAUGAUUCUAAAAAAAUAAUUUUUUUAAAAAUAUUCAAAAACAAGAAACUUGAUAAUUCAAUUUAAUUGCUUAAUUUAAAUUAUUAAAUAUAUUUAAUAAAAUAAUUUAAUGUUAAAAUUAUUUUUAUUUUUUAAUAUUAAAUUAAAAUAAUUAACUAAUACAAUUUCAAAGCCUUUUUACCUCAUUUUCCUCUACCAAUGUAAAAUAAUUAACAUAUACAUCAGACCUACCUUGACUCACAAGUUUGCCUUUUAAGUCUCCUUAUUUCCUGAUUUUAUUUAUUUAUACUUUAAUCUCAUUCUUUCUACUUAUAUCUAAAAGGUCUAAAUUUUUCUUUAUACUUUUAAAAAUGAGGAUUAAAAUUUCCAUAAAUACUAAAAUUCAUACUUUUUUUUUCUUUUUUCAAAUAACUAAAUAUUAGAUAAUUGAAAGUAAAUUCUUUUGGUCAAAACUUAUGUCUCAUAUAAUAAGUCAUUACAACAACAAUUUAAAAGUAUUAUUUUUUAUGAUUUAAUCAAGUAGAAUAAAAAAUUAAGUAUAAAAAAGGGAAAAUGUUGAAUAAACAAGAAGAAAGAAAUACCAAUAUUAAAUGAGAUUUUUUUUAUUUUAGUUUAAUUUUAAUAUUUUAUUAGUAAUUAAUGGUCAAUUUUUUUAUUUUUUUUUUGUAAUAAUAUUUAGUUGUCAUUAUUUUGAAAAUUAAAUUUACAUUUUUUUAGAGGGGGCAAAUUUUCUAUUUUGGUUUCUACUUUCCUAAAAAAGGUUUCACAUAUAAGGGAACUUUUUUGUUUCUAGAAUAUUGAAGGGGGGGGGACACGUGACCCCCUGAGUUGGGACAGAACUCGUUUUCUAGAAAAAGUUGGGCCCAACUAUGCCGUCGUCUUUCAAUGUUUUUUCCUUCUUUCCAUUUAAAAAACAAUGCGUGCUAUUACAAGUCGAUAAGACUUGCAUUUUGGUCAUUCUCGUUAGAAAAUCCCCCCUUUGUGUUUUGUCUUUGAGUGGUUGGCAACUACGACUUGGUCUUUGCGCAGUUGGUAAGUAUGACGCCUUGGAAAUUAGAAAAAUAUUAUUGUACGGAAAAUGAAACAUUCAAUAUAUGUAUAUAUAGCCUAGGUGUUCUGAGCAAAUGUAGAUAACUCAGGUUUUGUGAGCAAAGGCAUAUCAUAACUCAAGUUUUGUGAGCAAAGGGUGUGCACUGUAGCCAUGGCUAAAGCUCUCCUCGUUUCACCUUCCUACUUCAUCUUCUUCAUCUUCCUCAUUUUCUCUUCUGCCACAGUUUCAAUUUUCGGAGAAGAAUACAGCUAUGUCAAAAGUAUCAAUCCUAAGAAAAUGAAUAUGUUGAAGGAAAAGGUAACACACUUUCAACUUUAUUGGCAAGAUGUUGUUAGUGGGUCUAAUGCAACAUCGGUUACAGUGCUUGAAGAAGUGAAUAACUCGUCAACAUUGUUUGGUUCGGUUAGUAUAAUUGAUAACUCGUUAACCGUUGGGCCAAAUUUGAGCUCAAAAACGGUUGGAAAGUCCCAAGGGUUAUACGCAUCUACGGGACUAGAAGAAACUUCAUUAUUGAUGGUUAUGAAUUUUGCAUUCACUGAUGGCAAGUACAACGGUAGCACAUUCACCGUGGUAGGACGGAACAAUGUAAAUGCUAAGGUGAGGGAGAUGCCAAUAAUCGGUGGUAGUGGGCUUUUCCGAUUUGCUAGAGGCUAUGUUCUAGCAUCAACUUACUCAUUCAGCGACAACGGAGAUGGCACUAUUGAAUACAAUUGUUAUGUUAUACAUUAUUGAUAUUUUUUAUCUUUUUCUAGUUUUUUCAUGGAGCUUUGGUCCACAAUAGUGAUAUACUUAAAUAAUUGUGUGUUCCCACUAUAACUAAGUGAGAUUAUCUAGUUUUGUUUAAUUUGAAUAAAGGUGACUCUUCACCUAAUUUAAUGUAAGCAUAUUAUAAUAAAAUAAAAUGCUUAUUUGCGUGCUUAAUUACUUUCUUGAAAUUUGUUAAACUAUACUUUAUUCUUAAAAAAUAAAAAAAAUAUUGGAGAGAAGUAGAUUUCAAAGCUCAUAUCAACAAAGUUGAAAUGGUAUCACUUUUCUAUUCAACUUAGCCACUUUUUGUGAGUUGAUUUGAUAUGUUUAAAUUUUCACACAUAUAGCUUUUGAAUAUAAGGCUAAUUGGGUGGACUACCUUUACUUUGUUUAAUAAGAAUGACAUAUGUCUUUGAUUUCACAUGACUCAAAUUGUUUUAACCAAACUAAAAUAUAUUCAACAUCCACUAAUUUUUAGUCAUAUAUAAUGAUAAUGAAGUUAGGAAAAAAAAAACUAAAAAAUUUGAGCAACAUUCCCAUUUAUAAAAAUGUUUUGAUGAAAAUUAUAAAUUUUAUUACUUUGACAUGAUACAUAAGUUUAACUUUUUCUUUUGUUUCAUCUAAGAUAUGAUUUAAUUGAAAAUAUUUGAAAAGAAGAUAGGAUUCUUAAACAACAACCUUUUCCCAUUAUUUACAAAUUCUACAAGGUCCAUAGCUAGGGUUUGGAUCAAAAUGGCUAAAAAUUAAUGUCAUCUCAAUUUGGUUCAUUUUUUAGAUAAGCAAUCAUGAUGAUGUUGAAUAAGUUCUUGUGUCCAUAACAAGCAAGCAACUAUAAUGGAACAAGACCAUUUGUAUUUUUUGUUGCCAUUUGUAUGGUCCAAUAUCUUGGGCCCAUCACAUUUUGAGCCAUAGCCUAAUGGGCUUUUCACCCCAUGAUGUGGUUACCAAUUAAAAAUUGGACCUCAUUAGGGUUCACCAAAUUUAAAGCCCCUUAAGACCCUUGAAGAUUAAGUGGAAAUAACCAUUUGUCACAAAUGAAAAGUGAGAUAGAAACUUAUAUUUAAAAUUUUAAAUGGAAAGACCCUUGAACACUGAUUUUUAAUGUUAGUGAAUGAAAGAAAAAUCAAAUAACUCUCAUUUCAAGCAUUUAAGAGUACCAUCUCCUAGAAAACUGAUAAAAUAACCCUAUUAGAUAAUUUGGUUAGAAAAAAGAAAAUAUGAAGGGUCUGAUAUAUCAUUGUCAAACAACGCAUAAAAAAAAAACUAUAAAAGGACGAAUUUUCAUUGUAGGAUAAAGGAGAAUUUCUUAUUUUCAAUAAAUAAAAAAAUUUAAAAGUUUUGCAGCUUCAAUAAGUUCUAAUAAAUUUUAUCUUUUAUAUAUAAAUUAUUAUUAUUAUUAUUUUAUGAUUUUAAAAAAAUAUAUGAAAUAUGUUCAAAUGGGUAUUUAAUUAUAAAUAAAUGAUAACUAUUCUACUAUUUCUCUAAUACAAAAAUUAAAAAAAAACUAUUUGAAUAUUUUUAAAUGAAUUUCACAUUCAAAAAACUUUAAAUCAUUUUUUUUUUCUCUUCUUGGUUGUGAAAUAGUAGAUGAUGAAAAAUUAACCAUAAAUGAUUAAUUAUCAUCAUAAGUUUAAUCUUUAUCAAUUAUCCUUGUCCUAUUAAAGCAAGGUGACAAGUUGAAUUAAUGUGAUUAGGUUUAUGUAAGUUCAAAUCAAUUGUCCUCAUCCUUGUAUGAAAGUCAUGGACUCAUGGCAUGCGGCUAUAGCCCAUUGAAGGUAUAGAAGUAGUGUUAUUAAAGAUCAAACUUUAAGUAAAAAAAUUUUAAAGUAUUUUUUAAUAUUUUAUGGGAUACUAUUUUUAAAAAAUAAUAUUAAUUAAAUAAAAAAUCCUAACACUAAAACCCUGUAGAAAGAAGUUGGGAACAAUGCAUGCAUGUGCAUGUAUUUCAUGAGUUAUCUCUGAGUAUUGCCAUCCGUUGCCACUAAUUUUUUAGUCACCCUUUUUUCCCCUGAGAGAAUGGAGUGGAUGCCUUGGUGGAGCCUGUUUGCCAUCCAAAUGGGAGAUUGAAAUGCCUCUCUAUCCCCACCUGCUGCAGCAUCUCUCUCUCUCUCUCAUAUUCUAUGAUGGAAUCUUUAGUCUAUAAGGUUGAUUUUUUGAAUGCCCAUUACCAGCUGAUUUUUGAAGGAAAGGAAUUGAAUAUUAAUUCUCAUAUGGUCUCUCUCUCUUUCAUAUUCUUUGAAGAAUCUAUAAUCUAUAGAGUUGAUCACUUUUAAAUGCCCAUGAGCAGCUGAUUUUUGAAGGAAAGUGAUUGAAUAUUAAUGGCUGUGAGACCCAUUCUCAUAUCUUCUCUCUCCCUCUCCCCCUUUCUCUCUCAUAUUCUAUGAUAGAAUCCACAGUCAAUAGGAUUGAUUUUUUUUUUUUUUAAUGCCCAUGAGCAGCUGAUUUUUGAAGGAAAGUGAUUGAAUAUUAAUGGUUGUGAGACCCAUGCACUCUCAUAUGUUCUCUUUAUCUCCCCCUCUCUCUCAUAUUAUAUUAUAGAAUCUAUAAUCUAUAGGGUUGAUUUUUUUUAAUGCCCAUGAGCAGCUGAUUUUUGAAGGAAGGUGGUUGAAUCUUAAUGGGUUGUGAGACCCAUUAAUGUAGAGAGGAACUCAAAAUCCUAAUAAAAAUGUAAUUCAAUUAAUGAUGGGUUUUUAAUUCAUAUUCUCAUUUUUAAUAAUUAAUUCAAAUAAAAUAACAAAUUAAAAGUAAAAUAGAUUUUUUAAUUUCAUUUUUUGUUUCAAUGUCUCAAACAUAUGUAAAAGAUAUGAUGAUUAUUUUUAAGGUUUAUAAAACAAUUCUAAAAAAAGUAGAUUUUUAAAAAAUAUUUAAAAGUAAGGUGUUUGAUAAAUCAACUUAAUUACUUAAUUUUAAUUAUUAAAUAAAUAAAAUAUAUUUUAUAAAAUAAUUUAAUAUUAAAAUUAUUUUUUAUUUUUAAUAUUAAAUUAAAUAAUUAAUUUAUAUUUAAUUUCAAAACCUUUUCACCUCAUUUUUCCGUACCCAUGUAAACUAAUUAACAUAAAUACCGGACCUACUUGGGUCACAAGUUUGAAUGGUAAAAUGACAAUUUUAUCCAAUAGGAUGAAGGGUUUUGGCCCCCACAAUAAACCCUAGGGCCUACUUUGAUGGCGGCUGCCACCGUGGAGCCAGACACUUUUGUUAGGUGGGGCAUCAAGAGAAUUAUUAAUAUAUUAUAGUUAAGGUAAUUAAUAAUAUUUAUUAUUAUUAUUAAAAUUAAAUAAUUUUAAAUAUUAAUUAUUAAAAUGUAUGAAAUUAAACCAUCAUAAUACUAAAAAUAUUUUUUAAAAAAAGUUAGAUUAUAUAUAUAUAUAUAUAUAUAUAUAUAUAUAUCAAGAACAUUUAAAAGGAAAUUUCAAAAGAAACAAAAACUAGAAAAAAAAUCAUUAGAAAUUCUGAAUAAUUUUAAUUAUUUUGUAGCAAAAACCCUUAAAAGUUAUUUUUUAAAAAUUUAAGUACUUAUAUUAUAAAUUUUGAUAUCUUCGUGGAAAAUAUGUGCGUCUUUAAAUAUGAUAAUAGGACAAGGACAAUUGACAAAGAUUAAACUUAUGAUGAUAAUUAAUCAUUUAUGUCCAACUAGUCCAUGGUCUUUCCAAGUUUUCCUUCUUUCCAUUCAAAAACGGCAUGCUAUUACUAGUCGAUAGGACAUACAAAUUACCCAAAACCACCAAGUGCUCAAGGCAACUGGAGGGGCAUUUUGGUCAUUCUCGUUAGAAAUUUUCCCCAUUGUGAUGUGUCUUUGACUGGUUGGCAUCUAGGACUUGGUCUUUGCGCAGUUGGUAACUAUGACGGCUUGGAAAUUGGAAAAUAUUAUUGUACCGAAAAUGAAACAUUCAAUGUGUAUAUAUAGCCUAGGUUUUGUGAGCAAAUGUAUAUGACUCAAGUUUUGUGAGCAAAGGUAUAUCAUAACUCAGGUUUUGUGAGCAAAGGGUGUGCACUGUAGCCAUGGCUAAAGCUCUCCUCAUUUCACCUUCCUACUUCAUCUUCUUCAUCUUCUUCGUUUUCUCUUAUGCCACAAUCCCAGUUUUCGGAGAAGAAUAUAGCUAUGUCAAAACUGUUGAUUUUGAGAAAAUGAAUCUACCGAAGGAAAAGGUAACACACUUUCAACUUUAUUGGCAAGAUGUUGUUAGUGGGUCCAAUGCAACCUCUGUCACAGUGAUUCAACCAGUGAAUAACUCGUUACCAUUUUUUGGUAUGGUAAAUAUAAUUGAUAACUCAUUAACCGUUGGGCCAAAUUUGAGCUCAAAAACAGUUGGAAAGGCCCAAGGGCUUUAUGCAUCUACGGGACAAAAAGAAUCUUCAUUAUUGAUGGUUAUGAAUUUUGCAUUUACUGAUGGCAAAUACAAUGGUAGCACAUUCACCGUGGUAGGACGAAA